rnacentral:rRNA from 1 species
UACGGGGGGGGGCAAGCGUUGUUCGGAAUUACUGGGCGUAAAGGGCUCGUAGGCGGCCAACUAAGUCAGACGUGAAAUCCCUCGGCUUAACCGGGGAACUGCGUCUGAUACUGGAUGGCUUGAGUUUGGGAGAGGGAUGCGGAAUUCCAGGUGUAGCGGUGAAAUGCGUAGAUAUCUGGAGGAACACGGUGGCGAAGGCGGCAUCC